GCCUCGGUAGCUCAGGUGGUCAGAGCGCACCCUUGGUAAGGGUGAGGCCGCGGGUUCAACUCCCGCCCGAGGCUCCA
rnacentral:tRNA from 1 species